UUGCUUUGCUAUAUUAGCCGGAGACGACUGAGAAACCUUUAUUAGUUUUGUUUCCCUCCAAAUGUUCUUACGCUUGUACCGCGAAGAACCCUAGAAAAUCCUUUCUCCUUCUCCUUCGCGUUUCCGAUUUUGGAUUGUCAUUGUCGUUCUUUGCCGGUGCAUUUGUUUUCUGUUCGAUCAACAACAGAAUUCUCCAAAUUCUGCAUAUUCUAUUUUGUAUAAUUCUUUGUUUUCGUCUUCUCAUCUCUUGCUAACAAGGAAACCAUGAGUUCCUUUCUUCACAAACUAUGGGACGAAACGCUUGCUGGCCCUACGCCAGACAAUGGCCUCGGAAAGCUUCGAAAGUAUGAUCCCGUUUCGGCUUCGGAAUCGUCUUCGGUUAAGAUUUCCGGGGACGUUCCUGUAACGCGGAGUAUCACCAUUCUGAGGAGGAGAAACUAUGAUUUCAGGAACUUAGCGGAUGAUCGUGAUGGAAGGAUGAUCGACUCGCCGCGGACGCCUCUAACUCCGGGGACGCCCGAUCUUGAUGGUGAUCUGAAGAGGAUUCCGUGGAAAAGAUUGUCGGCUGAAUCAUUUGAACAUGACGAUUAGAAGACGCCGAUUACAGUCUCAUUGUCGAUUCAACCAUUGAAGGGGAAGCAGCCAAGUAUCUGUAUAUAAGAUAUGUAUCUAUGCAUGUGUGUGUGUAUGUAUGUAUGUAUGUAAAUAAUACCAGCCAACCUAGCUACAGUUCUUCAAUCCACCCGUUGGCAUUAAAAUUUAUGCUUCGAGAGGGAGGUUGAAUUUCUUAGUUUUCUGUUGGUUCUCAGUAAUUUGUAAUUACAAACCUUGUGAAUUAUGUGUAUAUAUCAUUAUUUCAUUCGUAAUGCAACUCCUCUUUCGCUGGUUUUCAUGUCUUUUGAAUCAGUUUUGAACCGCAAAUCACUUACACUUGAAUUAAAGAUAGAACAAAACCAUAACAAACUGAUCUAAACAAAAUUAUUGGGAUUUGAAGGCAUGAAUAAUAGAUAUUAUUCUGUGUAGGUUUAACUUGCAGAGGAUGCCUUGACUUUCUCGAUCAGAUCGGCGGCAUCUUGAACGGUAGAGAUGCCUUCAGCUCCACCUUCACCAAUUGACACUCCAAACCUCUCUUCCAAAGCCAUCAUGAUCUCAACCUUUGACUCACGGUGUCAAGAGAAUCAGCUCCCAAAUCAGAAAACUUUGUUUGAGGGAUCACUGCACUUUGUUCCAGAGAGAGUUGCUUGGCAAUUAUUUCUUGAACAACUUCCAGUGUUUCUGGUUGGGCCUUCACAUUUUUUACAUCACACCCAUCUUACUUUCAAGCCAAUAAUUGCAUAGGUAACACUUUUAAGAAUAAUAAUUGAGUGAAAUUGUAAAUAUAACAAAAUCUAUUGGUGAUAGACUCUAUCGUUGUAGUAGUCUACCGACGAUAUGGUCUAAAUUUUGUUGUAUUUGCAAAUUCCAUUGUACUAUAUUGUCAUUACUUCAAGUUAGAACUUAAAACCAACCAUUUUUCUAUUUUUCAACACUGUUUCCACUUUCCCAUUUGGUUCUUUUCCUUUAUAACCUUUCACCGAUAUUCAUCUUCCUUUUUGCCCAAUGAAUUAGAAGUUUUUUCCUUGUUUCUUCUUUUUUUGUUAUGUGUCCAAUAACCUAUGGUAACAGUAAAUACACGACUUUUCAUCUCAUCAGCAAUAAACUAUAAAGGGAUCAUAUUAUUGGUUUUACCUUUUUCUGUGGUCCAUUCUCAUCUAUUUCUCGUUAGUAAAACAAACUUCAUUAGUUGUUAUCAGUGUGUGUAUGUAUUUUCUUUUGUGUAUUUACAAAAUAUAUGUUUUGAACUUUUUCAUCCAUAAAAAAGAUAUAUUUGAAAAUUUUGCUUAGUAAUAAAAAGCAGAAUUUUGAUAUCUUUAAUAUUAAGAAAACCAUAUUUUCAAUUGUUUUUUUAGAAUAUUACAUUUGAUCAGAAUGGUCAUUCAAAACUGGAAAGUUAUUUAUAUAAUUUUUAAAAGCAUGGAUUUUUUUACUAAGGUUUCAUUCGAUAACCCUUUUCUUUUUCCGUUUUCGUUUUUGAAAAUGAGGUCUAUUUCAAUUUCAAUUUUUUUCCUUUUGUCGUCUACUUUCUGCAAAUAGAAUUUUGAAAACUAAAAAAAAUUCUUCCUAAAAAUUGUUCGUUUUUGGACUUUGGUUAUGAAUCCAACCAUUUUAUUUAAGGAAAAUGCAAAUUAUGACAAUUAAAUAAACUUAUACCAAUGAAGUCUAGAUUGUCCCGAUUCAAUUGUUUUGUUUUUAGAUCCCUUAAAUCAAAGAAAUUUAUUAAACUAUUCUUUCGCCAAUCUUUUUCUCCCUUAAGUAAUAUUGGGAAUGCAUUUAAAUUACCCCAAAAUUAAAUCUAUUACCAUUACAGUGAAAAACAAAUAGAGUUAAUAAAACGGUAGAAAUGUAUACACAAAUGCCUAUAAAUUAGGGAAAGAAAUAAAAAGGCUUGAGUUGUAAGAGAAGGUACAACAACUUACAACGGAGCAACAUAUCUUUGAUCUGAAUGACUUGGAAAGUGAAGAUGCUCCUUUUGCAGCCUUUGCCACUUUCAUGCUGGGAAACACCCUCUCCCCACAAAACAAACUACCGUCCUGCAUAAUUUCAAUGCAUUCGGGUGGUAGGUGGAUAGACUUACUCUUGCUGAUAGGCUAUUACGCGAAUACAAAACAGUACUCUUGUUUCUCAUCGAGGAGGUGCAUGUGAAUGUUGUGGGAAGUGGGGACGAUGCGAAGGACGACGACAUGAUCGAAAAGAGAUGGAAGGAAUGGAAAGGUAAGGUAAGUGUUUAAUGAAAGGUUUGAAAAAAGAGAGUAAGAAUGAAGUUGGGAGAGGGAAUGGUGGAAUUUAUAAAAUGCUGUUAUUAGUUAUUAAAAUGAAUUGAGAAAGAUUCGAUGAUAACGAAGGCUUUGUUUUGGUGUCAAUUUUGGCGGAUGGCA